rnacentral:lncRNA from 1 species
CUUUUCCUUUGUUUAUAAUCAAGAAUAAAAAGUAUCUUACCUUCUACUCUUACACAUAUAUAGUUGUGUACACAUGCACACACCUCUGCUAGCUUAUAUCAUUUAUAAUCAAGAUUGGGAUGUCCUAGGCCUUUCAGCUUUACUCAAGUUUUCUCUCCUCUUGAAAAUGGGGCAAGUAUGAGAAUCUGUAAUAAAACGUUGUGGCUAGUGGAGGAAGUUGGAUACCAUGCCGGUGAGAUUCGACUUUUCUUGGGUAUUUAUUUAUUUAAUGUGGUGCUUGAAGAAAUUUUCAUGUGUAAGAGGCCUAUAGAAACUUAGUUUCAAGGCCAGGCGUGAUGAUUCACGCCUGUAAUCCCAGCACUUUGGGAGGCUGGGGCCGGUAGACAGCUUGAGCGCAGGAGUUUGAUACUAGCCUGGGCAACAUGGCAAAACCCCGUCUCUACCAAAAAUACAAAAAUUAGCUGGGCAUGGUCAUACGCACCUAUAGUCCCAGCUACUCAGGAGGCUGAGGCAGGAGAAUCGUUUGAGCCCAGGAGGAGGAGGUUGCAGUGAGCCGGGAUCACACCACUGCACUCCAGCCUGGGCAACAGGAGUCAAACCCUGUCUCAAAAUAUUAAAAACAUGAAACUUAGUUUCAAAACACAAGUAAUACUAUUCAAUCUAGAUAUGAAUUUUUUUUUUCAGUUGUAUGGUGGAAAGGAUUGCCAGUUGUACAACACUAAACUAGAAUGCUUUUGCUUAAUCUAUAGGAAGAAAAUGAAAAAAGAAGUCAUCAUAAAGACCACUCAGAUAGUGAAUCUACAUCGUCAGAUAAUUCUGGGAGGAGGAGGAAAGGACCCUUUAAAACCAUAAAGUUUGGGACCAAUAUUGACCUAUCUGAUGACAAAAAGUAAGUCCUUGUAGUAAUAUUUCUGUGAACUGAUGCAAAGAGUUAUCCUGUGCUAGAUUGGGAAUUCUGUACAAUUUCCUCUUCUGUUUCAUUUAUUUUCUUUUCUUUUUUUUAAGUUGACAUGAAUUUAAGCUAAACUUUUUC